AUGUGGUUAAUUCGAAGCAACGCGAAGAACUUACCUGGUCUUGACAUCCCGGAGACCCUUAGGAAACUAGGGGUGCUUCCAUCUGGAAGAAUCUGGAGACAGGUGCUGCAUGGCUGUCGUCAGCUCGUGUCGUGAGAUGUUGGGUUAAGUCCCGCAACGAGCGCAACCCUUGCCUUUAGUUGCCAGCAGUUCGGCUGGGCACUCUAAAGGGACUGCCGGUGUUAAACCGGAGGAAGGUGGGGAUGACGUCAAGUCCUCAUGGCCUUUAUGACCAGGGCUACACACGUACUACAAUGGCCGAUACAAAGGGCAGCGACACUGCGAGGUGAAGCCAAUCCCGUAAAAUCGGUCUCAGUCCGGAUUGGAGUCUGCAACUCGACUCCAUGAAGUUGGAAUCGCUAGUAAUCGUGGAUCAGCAUGCCACGGUGAAUACGUUCCCGGGCCUU
rnacentral:rRNA from 1 species